CGUGUGGUGCCCGAUAGGCUCGGGAGAGCGACACGGCCUUAGAUAAGAGGU
rfam:Grimontia sp. AD028 Contig133, whole genome shotgun sequence.